rnacentral:rRNA from 1 species
UACGGGGGGGCAAGCGUUGUUCGGAAUUACUGGGCGUAAAGGGCUCGUAGGUGGCCAACUAAGUCAGACGUGAAAUCCCUCGGCUUAACCGGGGAACUGCGUCUGAUACUGGAUGGCUGGAGUAUGGGAGAGGGAUGCGGAAUUCCAGGUGUAGCGGUGAAAUGACGUAGAUAUCUGGAGGAACACCGGUGGCGAAGGCGGCAUCCUGGACCAUUACUGACGCUGAGGAGCGAAAGCCAGGGGAGCAAACGGGG